rnacentral:lncRNA from 1 species
GUCCGUAAGAGGCCGACCCUCCCAGGGCUCCCCCGGCUUCUGACCUUGUGCAGCGUCUUUCUGAACCUCCCCGAUCGUCCGAGCUUCCACAAUACCAUCCGGACUCCUCCAGCAGUCGACCUUCUGCAGUGUCCUCCAGAUUUCUCCAACAGACGAACUCCUAUCGUGCCAUCCGGACUUCUCCAAUAAUGAGCUCCUCCAUUCAUCUAUCGGACUGCUCCAAAUACUCUCUGGACUUCACUAUCAGCCGAUUUUCUACAGUGAUCAACUACUCUCCGAAUCUCUUCCAGACUUCUUCCAGCC